GUCGAAAAACUAUCAGAAAUUGACGAAAUUUAUAUAAUCAUAUGUUGCUUGGCAUAAUGAAACACUUAUUGUAUGAAUUUUUUGGAAAUGUGAUGAUCUAUUCCCCCUAGAAAAUCAAAUUAAAAUGUUUAUGACAGCAUUGCUGUAUUCCUAAAUCAUGCAUGUGCAUGUGAGAAUUUAAAAGAACGUAGCCCAGUAGGUAAGUUGUAUUGUUUCAAUAAAAGAUGUAAAACAUUUAUUUUAGAAAUAUACAAAUAUUUUCAUCAACAUUAAUGUAUCAUGCUAACCGUGCAUAUAUUUUCAUUAUGUUUAAACAAGAUUAAGCUAAACAUGAGUAUUUUUUCCAGACAAUUAUUUAAAUGAAUUUUUAUACAAGAGAGGCGUUAACAGCGGAGGAAGUACAUGAACAAUUCAAUAAGUCAUAUAUUCUUGGAGAGGUGCCAUUGAUUUUAAAAAAUAAAAGGAAAAUAUCCCCCCGAUUACAAUCUACAAGGAUAAUAAGAUAGAUUAGAGCUUUAAUAUGCAAUUUUAUUGGAUGUUAAUGCGUUGCUGACGGCGACUGCGUUUAACAUAUUUUUUUCUGUUAAAUUUCAUGUGAAACAUUUUUGGCAUAAAGUUUAUCAUUUAGUCAUUAUUCCUUGAUAAAAAUAGCACAGAAAUGCAUAAUUUAGCAUUGUACACACCCUGGAUGCAAUAUGUGUAUUUUCAGGAAUUUUAAAGAGUUUUGUUUUAAACAGCAUGCUUUGAACUUGUGCCUUCUUGAGAAGAUUUUAAAAUGUUUGUUUUAUUGAUUAAACAAUUUUUCAGUUGUAAGAAAAAAACACCCCCAGAUUGUUUUAUGAAUUUUGAACACAUCGAGCAUAACACUUACUGGACAACUAAAUGUUGAAAGGGAGAUAACUGCUUUUGUUGAUUGGAGAGAGAAAUGCCAAAAAGAGUUAUUUUUCGUAGAAUUUGUAUGAAAUUAACUGUACAUUAAUUUCAUUAAAUUAAACAAAAUGUC